rnacentral:rRNA from 1 species
CCUACGGGUGGCAGCAGUGAGGAAUAUUGGUCAAUGGACGAGAGUCUGAACCAGCCAAGUAGCGUGAAGGAUGACUGCCCUAUGGGUUGUAAACUUCUUUUAUAUGGGAAUAAAAUGUUCCACGUGUGGGAUUUUGUAUGUACCAUAUGAAUAAGGAUCGGCUAACUCCGUGCCAGCAGCCGCGGUAAUACGGAGGAUCCGAGCGUUAUCCGGAUUUAUUGGGUUUAAAGGGAGCGUAGGUGGAUUGUUAAGUCAGUGGUGAAAGUUUGCGGCUCAACCGUAAAAUUGCAGUUGAUACUGGCAUUCUUGAGUACAGUAGAGGUGGGCGGAAUUCGUGGUGUAGCGGUGAAAUGCUUAGAGAUCACGAAGAACUCCGAUUGCGAAGGCAGCUCACUGGACUGCAACUGACACUGAGGCUCGAAAGUGUGGGUAGCAAACAGGAUUAGAUACCCCAGUAGUC